AAGCAGAGAGGUCGUGAAUCCGGGAUCGUCCGGUAAAACCCUUCAGACCUACAUCUAGGAAGGACAGAAAUAAAUAAAUGAACCAGCAGCCUUUGAGUGAUUUAAUCUCGGUGCCGGUUACCGGAGCCCGGAGUGUGAGCCUCAUCAGAUCCGGUCCUGUGAGGAGGAGCGAGCCUUCAACCUGCUCCACUAUCUGGAUCUGGAUCCCUCUGAGGGGAGGGAGGUGAAGGGGUCCUGAAAGUAACUCUGAGUAUCAAAAUUCAAGAACCCCUGUGUUACCUGAGGACGGCCCCAUCACUUUGUCAGCGCUCUGAAGCUUUAAAGCUCAAGGCCACAUCCGUCUGGCUGUGAGGAAACUCCAGACAGAUUGCAGCACUGAGAGGAGACUGAGGAGAGGAAGCCGUCCACUCUGG